CAGUAGCCGCGGGAAUACGGAGGGUGCAAGCGUUAUCCGGAUUUAUUGGGUUUAAAGGGUCCGUAGGCGGAUCUGUAAGUCAGUGGUGAAAUCUCACAGCUUAACUGUGAAACUGCCAUUGAUACUGCAGGUUUUGAGUAAAUUUGAAGUGGCUGGAAUAAGUAGUGUAGCGGUGAAAUGCAUAGAUAUUACUUAGAACACCAAUUGCGAAGGCAGGUCACUAAGAUUUAACUGACGCUGAUGGACGAAAGCGUGGGGAGCGAACAGGAUUAGAGACCCCUGUAGUCCCUGUCUCUUAUAC
rnacentral:rRNA from 1 species